GACGAACCGUGCGAACGUUAUUCGGAAUCACUGGGCUUAAAGCGCGUGUAGGCGGGAGGGCACGUCCGUCGCUGAAAUCCCCCGGCUCAACCGGGGAACGGGCACGGAUACGACCUUCCUGGAGGGGCGUAGGGGGACCUGGAACUUCCGGUGGAGCGGUGAAAUGCGCAGAUAUCAGGAGGAACACCGGUGGCGAAGGCGGUUCUCUGGGCCUGUACUGACGCUGAGGAACGAAAGCGUGGGGAGCGAACAGG
rnacentral:rRNA from 1 species